UCUAUAGUGCACUUCUUUGGGCCCUGGACGAAGUACACCCUUUGGGCCAUGGUCAAAAGUAGUGCACUAAAUAGGGAAUAGGUUGCCAUUUGGGAGCAGUUUGGGCUAGAAUAAAGGGUUGUAGCGAAGUCAUACUGCUGAGAAACAAAGACGACGUUGCCCAAUAGACCGCUUGAGAACCAAGUGGGUGGGUGAAGUCGUCAGGAGACACUGAUCUUGGGUCAGUUUAGUAUUUUCCCCACUAAAGGUAAUGAUCGGGAGAGGGGAAGAUGAUCCUAGAAUGCACCUAGGGGAAACUCUGAUCUUGGGUCAGUUUAGUAUUUUCCCCACGAAAGGUAAUAAUUGGGAGAGGGGAAGAUGAUCCUAGAAUGCACCUAGGGGAAACUCUGAUCUUGGGUCAGUUGAGCAUUUUCCCCACUAAAGGUAGGAAGAUGAUCCUAGAAUGUACCUAGGGGAAACUCUGAUCUUGGAUCAGUGAAACCACCCCAGAGCAAGCAAGUGGAUGGGUCAUUCUCCUCUCAGGGUCUCUAAGGAGCUUUCCACUGGGAAAAAAUACGUCAUUUCCACAUAAUUUCAACAAAAACAUUAAAUGUGAUGAUGUUGAAUCAAUGUGGAAAACAUAAUCCAAUGACAUGGUGACAUUUUUUGUUGAUUUCACGUUGAAUUCACGUUAGUUGACAAACUCAACCAAAGGUAAAUCCAAACUAGUUGUUGAACUGACGUCUGUGCCCAGCGGGUUAGUUCUGUUUUGUUUGUGACGGUCAUGCCAGGGCUCCCUCCCUUGGCAUCCCAGAGAGCCAGAUGAAUGUAGUUCUGUUCACCGUGCAGUCAGACAACAUCACAGCACCGUCUGCAGUGGACCAUUUGUUAGGAGAGGAAGCUGUUGGCAGACACCUACAGUACCACACCACAUCAGAAGCAGGAGCAGCACAGUCCUAUCUAGCGGCACGUAGAGCUGGGCCAUUAUGGACCAAAAUCCAUAUCACGAUCAAUUUACUGAAAUAUCACGCUUAUGAUAAAUUCACCUAUACGUUUAUAACAUUAAUGUGCACUACAGUUAUUUUUUAUAUUACACUUAAAAAUACUAUUUUGAAUUUUCUAGGUCAUAUCCUGAGUGGGGCAGCGGUCUAAGGCACUGCAUCUCAGUGCAAGAAGUGAUACUACAGCCCCUGGUUCGAAUCUAGGCUGCAUCACAUCUGGCCGUGAUUGGGAGUCUCAUAGGGUGGCGCAGGUUUGGCCGGGGUAUUGUAAAUAAGAAUUUGUUCUUAACUGACUUGCCUAGUUAAAUAAAGCUUACAUUUCAAAUAAAUAUAAAAAAUCCCAUGUAAAAGGACAUGAGCAAUAACAUGUGAAGAUCAUAGGAGCAUGUCAAAUUAAAGCUAAGACUAAGUUUCUUUGGAAAUUAAGGCACACUCUAAUUAAAGAUAUUGACAUUCAGUCAAAAUUACUAAUUUUAUCAAGCCAAGUCUGGGAGAUCAAUCAAUAGGUACAUAACAGGAAAUCCAGCUAAAGUACAGGCAGGGAAUAGGCAAAAAGGCAUCCUUAGUGAGGCAGGCAAAAACUAUCAUCCACGGGAUGAGUAAAUCACAGGAACCACAGCGCUCUGAAAGACGUGUGUCACAAAACAAACAAUACCUCACAGAGAUGGGGUGCAAAGAACUGAACUAAAUAGUGUGUGAUAAUGACAUACAGGUGUGUGAACAGGUGAUUAGAACUCAGGUGAUUGGGAUCUGGAGAGUGAGCUGCGUUCAGGGGAUCUAGGUGUUUUAGACUGUGAGUUGGAAAGUGGUUAGGAAAGUGAGCUGCGUUCAGGGGAUCUAGGUGUUUGAGAGUGUGAACUGGAAAGUGGGUAGGAAAGUGAGCUGCGUUCAGGGGAUCUAGGUGUUUGAGAGUGUGAACUGGAAAGUGGGUAGGAAAGUGAGCUGCGUUCAGGGGAUCUAGGUGUUUGAGAGUGUGAACUGGAAAGUGGGUAGGAAAGUGAGCUGCGUUCAGGGGAUCUAGGUGUUUGAGAGUGUGAACUGGAAAGUGGGUAGGAAAGUGAGCUGCGUUCAGGGGAUCUAGGUGUUUGAGGGUGUGAGUUGGAAGCAGACGUUACAGCUUGACUUGGGCAGGAGCUCACCGGAGCUGAAUAGCUGUACAUCAAAUGUUCUACUGCUUGAGCUCCUGUUCCUCUUAUAGAAUAUAAAAAGUAUUGUGGAGCUCCUGCACCUAAAUAUAAACAGUUCCAGCACCCAAAAUGAAUACUGGAACCUAAGCAUUGACUAAAAGGUACAUUUAUUCAACUAUAAAUAGUAGGUUAUACUGAAAAAUGUUGAAGUUGACUUAGUCAAAGUCAAUUCAGUGCUAGUUAGAAUAACUCUACAUUUAAAGCAUUGGUGAAGUUAACUUAACUAUCUUUAAUUAAUAAAAGUACAUUUGGAGUAAGUUAGUAUUACUUUAUAUAGUCCAUGCAACUUCAUGACUGGAAAUAAUAAGUUGAAACAACAAAUAAUUUUUUUAAUGCAAAUAUAAAUGUUUCAACCAUUUUCCAUUUUAACAAUAAGCAACGGCUUUGAUUUCUUGUCAAACAGAUGGAAAAUAAAGGUUAAAUGAAAAGAAAAGGGGUCUUAAAAGGUCUUAGAAAUACAUCAAAACAUAACAAUGUUGAAGUAAAGACUCCUGCCAGCUAAUAUCAACACAUAUUUAGUUUAGGAGAAAUGUGUCUGUCUUCUUUAAGAAACAUUACCUUGUGCAUUGAAAUCCCAUGACCAAAACCUCCAGAUAUCUUUCAGAUAUUUUCUAUUUUCUCUCACUCAUGAGGAGAGAGGACAAUGAAAGUUCACAGAAGUAACAAGUAAAGGUAGACCUACCAGUUAGUUAUAGUUUUUACUGAUAUAAAUGUUGUUUCUGCAAUUGGGAAAUCCUAGUAGCCACAAACCACAGAUGAGUCUCCUGUUACUGUCCUCCCCUCCACUGACAUACUGUUAUGUUCAGCUGAUAGAGUCUCCUGUUACUGUCCUCCCCUCCACUGACAUACUGUUAUGUUCAGCUGAUAGAGUCUCCUGUUACUGUCCUCCCCUCCACUGACAUACUGUUAUGUUCAGCUGAUAGAGUCUCCUGUUACUGUCCUCCCCUACACUGACAUACUGUUAUGUUCAGCUGAUAGAGUCUCCUGCUACUGUCCUCCCCUCCACUGACAUACUGUUAUGUUCAGCUGAUAGUCUCCUGUUACUGUCCUCCCCUCCACUGACAUACUGUUAUGUUCAGCUGAUAGAGUCUCCUGUUACUGUCCUCCCCUAC
rnacentral:lncRNA from 1 species